UGUGCUGUGGGACUUGGAUGGCAGAGAAAAAGUUGUGGCUGCUGAUCUGCUCCCAGAGAAAGUUGGCUGCAUUUUACAGAAUAUUUAUGAGUAUGGCAGUCAUGGAAGUGCCUGGAUUCAUCUAUGGAAAGAGACAAGUGCUGCUCCCAGAGCCCUUAGGAAGAUGUUUCCACCUGGGGAGACCCUCGGGGUCUCAGCAAGAGCGACAGGACCUGGGGGGACCAUUGCUGUAGGUUUCAGGAGUGAAUCCUUUCCCCCAGGGUAAGAGCUUGGAUGGGAUGGCUGUUUUCUACUCCUCUUCCAGCAGUUUUUAAAGUCGUGGAUGGCAGGAUUUGCAUUCGUACAAGGAGUGAACUCAGGAAUUCCUCCAGGUGGAUGCUCUUCCCAGUGUUUACACCGGGCUGAGGGACAAACUGUCUCUAACCAGCUGAGCUGUGGAGUCUGGGAUCUGUUUUUACUUAUUUUUUGCAAAGUUGCAUCUGAGGGCUUAUCUUGCUUAUAAACAGCUCGGUGCUGUCACCAAGUGGAAAAAGCAAAUCCCAGAAAAUUGCACAUGAGCCAGGCUGGAACCCACCAGUACAGCAUUGCCUCUCUGCCUGUGGGUCUUUCCAGAAGUCCUGAUAAAACUUCCCUGGAGAACGUGUUUCAGAUCCAGGAGGGGCUUUCUUGUCAAGCCCGGAGAGAAUGAGAAAGAGCCAGAUAAAAAGGGCAUGAACCCGCGGUGUGAGCAACAAAGACCAAACCCGCCGCCCACCUCGCUCGAGACAAGACGCAGGAACUCAGCAUCCUGCGUGUGACACAUUGCUGGAGACAACCAAAAAGCGACCAUCACUGCAGGGGAACUGAUAAAACAGCAGGAUCUGCUGUGAGGUGUGCUCUGGGACCCCAAAAUCACCUCUGCAGCCUCUCACACCCAUGGCCAGCGCAGAAAUGGGUGGGAAGAUGAGAAAAACCCCUUCACACACCACGGCUCUUCAGCAGGGUGGAUCAGGCUGAGAGCAGAAACUGGCAGAGCUGCCACAGGCUGCUGAGAAAUUCAAAAUUUCCACCCCCAAGAAGUCAGCGGAGCCAUGAGAAAAAGAGAUUUCACAAAGCACUUUGCAGGAUGAGUGAGGCCGUCAUCUCUUCAUCCUGCAGGUGGGGAAAAAUGAGACAGGAGUCAAAGAAAACAUUUGCCAGUGGUUGCCUGGCACAGAAAUGCAUCCAGGUGCCAGCUCAGCGCUGAGCCAAGGGCAGUGUGAGUGCCAAGUCACUGCCUCUGUCCCAGGUACUUCCAGCCUUGGGGCUGUGAGGGAUAAGUGCUCAUUGUGCUCCCUGUACAAAACAAAAACUUGAGUGCCAAGGUGGGGGAGAGGGAAAGGAAAGCACCAAGGCAUGGAAAUCUGCUCAUGGCUUUAAAAAGACUUGGACAGAAGCCAGAUUUUAAUUUCUGAUGGCUCUCCUGGAGAGAAAAAUACCAAUGAAAUGCCAAAAAAUAAAAAAAAAAAAAAGAAAGAAAAAGGGCCAAAACAAAGCCAUUGGCUGUUGAAACCCAAAUGUUUUCAGUUUAUUCUCAUUAAAGCCCUAUAGAAGCAUGUGAAAUGGAAAAAGAAAUCUGCUUUCUUAUGAUCCAAUAAGUCAUGAACAGUUGAGGCUGGAAAAGGCCUCCAAAUUCACCAAGUCACAAAAUGGUCCAGCAGGAUCCAGGCUCUUGGAGAUGGAACUGGACAGCAGCAUCUGGACAGGAGAUGCCCAUUUCCAAAGCAAUGGCAGUGACCACCAAAUCCCCCCAGCAGCCCCGGGGUGGCUCCAGUGCCAGGAGCCAGGGAACGAGGGGCUGUGCACCCGCAGGAAAUCUGCACCAGAGGGGCUGGGUGUGGGACAGCUGGUGCUCAGAGAGGCUGUUCGGUCUGCGCUCUGAGAAAUGCCAAAUGACACAAUUACAUCAGUCCCUGUUGGUUUAAAGCCUUAUGGAUCUGCAUUCCCGAGGGUGGACUGAUGGAUUUACUGCUGCUUCACUGCUCAUUACAAGAGUGUUUUGUUCCGAGAUGCUGGAGAGGAGGGGCUGAACACUGCGGCCGCACCAGCCCCAGCAGAGGAGAAUCUGGUGCUGUGGAGGGUCCAAAGGGAGCGCCGUGGAUGAAGCAGAGGUUUCCCAACUGGCUCUGCAGCCUCAGGGGGCUUUGAAAUGAGGAUCUGAGAAGCCUCCAGCAAUCCCAGGCACAGGGCAGAGCUCCUCUCCUCUCCUCUCCUCUCCUCUCCUCUCCUCUCCU